rnacentral:lncRNA from 1 species
GCGGCAGCAGGCGUGGCGGCCCGGUUGCUAGGACUAGGAUAAGCGUGGCGUUCGCGCGGGUGUCCCUCAGGUGGCCCCUUCUGCCUGGGUGCCAGGUCAGCUGACACAGAAAUGGCAGGAAAGGAGAACAACUUCCCCCCGCUGCCUCACUUCCUGCCGCUGAAGCCCUGCUUCUACCAGGACUUCUCUGAUGAGAUCCCGGUGGAGCACCAGUUUACUGCACCACGCUGGGUGUAAACCUAGUGGCCUGCCUGGCCUGGUGGAUUGCGGGCGGAGCGGGUGCCAAUUUUGGCCUGGCCAUGCUCUGGCUUGUUCUCUUCACUCCCUGCAGCUAUGUGUGCUGGUUCCGGCCUGCCUACAAGGCCUUCCGAGCCGACAGCUCCUUUAACUUCAUGGCAUUCUUCUUCAUCUUUGGAGCCCAGUUUGUGCUGACUGUCAUUCAGGCCAUCGGCUUCUCGGGCUGGGGCGCGUGUGGUUGGCUGGCCACCAUUGGGUUCUUUGGGACCAGCGUUGGGGCUGCUGUGGUGAUGCUGAUCCCAGCCAUCAUGUUUUCCUUAUCCGCUGUCGUGAUGGCCAUCACUAUUGUGAAG